UAGGGAAUCUUCGGCAAUGGGGGGAACCCUGACCGAGCAACGCCGCGUGAGUGAAGAAGGUUUUCGGAUCGUAAAGCUCUGUUGUUAAGGAAGAACGAGUGUGAGAAUGGAAAGUUCAUGCUGUGACGGUACUUAACCAGAAAGGGACGGCUAACUUCGUGCCAGCAGCCGCGGUAAUACGUAUGUCCCGAGCGUUGUCCGGAUUUAUUGGGCGUAAAGCGAGCGCAGGCGGCUACUUAAGUCCAUCUUAAAAGUGCGGGGCUUAACCCCGUGAUGGGAUGGAAACUGAGAAGCUGGAGUGUCGGAGAGGAAAGUGGAAUUCCUAGUGUAGCGGUGAAAUGCGUAGAGAUUAGGAAGAACACCGGUGGCGGAGGCGACUUUCUGGACGACAACUGACGCUUAGGCGCGAAAGCGUGGGGAGCAAACAGG
rnacentral:rRNA from 1 species